UACGAAGGGUGCUAGCGUUGUUCGGAAUCACUGGGCGUAAAGCGCGCGUAGGCGGUUAUUCAAGUCAGGGGUGAAAUCCUGGGGCUCAACCCCAGAAUUGCCUUUGAAACUGUAUGACUAGAGUGUCGGAGGGGAUAGCGGAAUUGCUAAUGUAGCGGUGAAAUGCGUAGAUAUUAGCAGGAACACCGGUGGCGAAGGCGGCUAUCUGGACGACAACUGACGCUGAGGCGCGAAAGCGUGGGGAUCAAACAGGAUUAGAUACCCCUGUAGU
rnacentral:rRNA from 1 species